CUAGAAUCGCGCCCGCACUCGUCAUCGGGGAGUAGCCGCCCUGCCGCCCGGCAGGGGUCCGCGCCAACACGCUUGGCCCUCAGGGGCCAUGGUCCGGACAGCCCCCAGCCUGGCAAGACCGCUGACUGCGCCGCCUCCGAAUGGGCCGGGGUCGCGGCGUGGUCAAGCUCCGGUCAUGCCGGCCCGUAUCGGAUU
rnacentral:sRNA from 2 species